CUUGAGGGUGUGACGUAGUACAGAAUCAUUCCGAGAGAUUUUCUGUUUUUGGUCAUUCGAUGUUUACUCAAACAGUUCAUCUCGUUAGUUGUUGCUUCGAUUUAGAGUCUGUGAUCGUGUGGUGUUUUCCAUGAUGUCGGAAUUGAGGAUCUUGUGGGCUAGAUUCCGUCGACGCUAGCUGGUUGAAGUGAUGUUUGUCGAACCGUGUUUUGGUGUGUGGGAUAAAGAUGGCCUAUGAAGAAGUGUUCUUUUCGCUCCGUCUUGUGCACUGGACGGAUUAGGCUACUACGUGACGAAGGCAGUGCUCGACUGCUACUCAGGACGACUGGAAUAUUCAACUUUCCAGUCUUGGAUUUCUCGACUGAAACAAAAAGCUGAGGUUGAUUUUAUUGGAAACAAGGUAUCCAGGGUUGUGCAAAUGGAAACUUUAAAUUUUGUUUUCAAAUCUACUUUAGCCUUUCAAUGUGGAGAGAGAGUCGAGGAAAUUCAACUUCAUUUCACGCUCGAUUUUAUGGUAUCGACGAACCUGGGUUUUGUUAGUGGUUUCAAAGCUGAAAUUUUUGUAUCCUAAUGUCAAUAUGGUUUUAACAACCAGAAAAUGUACCGCAUUGAUGUUGUCCACUUAUAAUACAUCCCAAUAAAAAUUUUGGCAAAGAA